GCAAUGUUUAACAUUGCAGGAAAAAAAAUGUCAGGGACAGUGCACCCAUACAAUUUAAUAGAGAUGACAACAGGCCUGAACUGGCUAUCGGCAAACCAGGCAAAUGCCCAGGAACAAGUGUCAUCUGUCCCUUUAUCUGUAAUCCUCGCAAAAUCCAUCUACUCUUAAGAUUUUCAAUGCAAGUCAUUGUGAGUAAAGAAUACAAUGUAUUGUGCAUGAG